rnacentral:rRNA from 1 species
CGGAGAAUGUUAUCACGGGAGACACACGGCGGGUGCUAACGUCCGUCGUGAAGAGGGAAACAACCCAGACCGCCAGCUAAGGUCCCAAAGUCAUGGUUAAGUGGGAAACGAUGUGGGAAGGCCCAGACAGCCAGGAUGUUGGCUUAGAAGCAGCCAUCAUUUAAAGAAAGCGUAAUAGCUCACUGGUCGAGUCGGCCUGCGCGGAAGAUGUAACGGGGCUAAACCAUGCACCGAAGCUGCGGCAGCGACGCUUAUGCGUUGUUGGGUAGGGGAGCGUUCUGUAAGCCUGUGAAGGUGUGCUGUGAGGCAUGCUGGAGGUAUCAGAAGUGCGAAUGCUGACAUAAGUAACGAUAAAGCGGGUGAAAAGCCCGCUCGCCGGAAGACCAAGGGUUCCUGUCCAACGUUAAUCGGGGCAGGGUGAGUCGACCCCUAAGGCGAGGCCGAAAGGCGUAGUCGAUGGGAAACAGGUUAAUAUUCCUGUACUUGGUGUUACUGCGAAGGGGGGACGGAGAAGGCUAUGUUGGCCGGGCGACGGUUGUCCCGGUUUAAGCGUGUAGGCUGGUUUUCCAGGCAAAUCCGGAAAAUCAAGGCUGAGGCGUGAUGACGAGGCACUACGGUGCUGAAGCAACAAAUGCCCUGCUUCCAGGAAAAGCCUCUAAGCAUCAGGUAACAUCAAAUCGUACCCCAAACCGACACAGGUGGUCAGGUAGAGAAUACCAAGGCGCUUGAGAGAACUCGGGUGAAGGAACUAGGCAAAAUGGUGCCGUAACUUCGGGAGAAGGCACGCUGAUAUGUAGGUGAAGUCCCUUGCGGAUGGAGCUGAAAUCAGUCGAAGAUACCAGCUGGCUGCAACUGUUUAUUAAAAACACAGCACUGUGCAAACACGAAAGUGGACGUAUACGGUGUGACGCCUGCCCGGUGCCGGAAGGUUAAUUGAUGGGGUUAGCGCAAGCGAAGCUCUUGAUCGAAGCCCCGGUAAACGGCGGCCGUAACUAUAACGGUCCUAAGGUAGCGAAAUUCCUUGUCGGGUAAGUUCCGACCUGCACGAAUGGCGUAAUGAUGGCCAGGCUGUCUCCACCCGAGACUCAGUGAAAUUGAACUCGCUGUGAAGAUGCAGUGUACCCGCGGCAAGACGGAAAGACCCCGUGAACCUUUACUAUAGCUUGACACUGAACAUUGAGCCUUGAUGUGUAGGAUAGGUGGGAGGCUUGGAAGUGUGGACGCCAGUCUGCAUGGAGCCGACCUUGAAAUACCACCCUUUAAUGUUUGAUGUUCUAACGUUGACCCGUAAUCCGGGUUGCGGACAGUGUCUGGUGGGUAGUUUGACUGGGGCGGUCUCCUCCUAAAGAGUAACGGAGGAGCACGAAGGUUGGCUAAUCCUGGUCGGACAUCAGGAGGUUAGUGCAAUGGCAUAAGCCAGCUUGACUGCGAGCGUGACGGCGCGAGCAGGUGCGAAAGCAGGUCAUAGUGAUCCGGUGGUUCUGAAUGGAAGGGCCAUCGCUCAACGGAUAAAAGGUACUCCGGGGAUAACAGGCUGAUACCGCCCAAGAGUUCAUAUCGACGGCGGUGUUUGGCACCUCGAUGUCGGCUCAUCACAUCCUGGGGCUGAAGUAGGUCCCAAGGGUAUGGCUGUUCGCCAUUUAAAGUGGUACGCGAGCUGGGUUUAGAACGUCGUGAGACAGUUCGGUCCCUAUCUGCCGUGGGCGCUGGAGAACUGAGGGGGGCUGCUCCUAGUACGAGAGGACCGGAGUGGACGCAUCACUGGUGUUCGGGUUGUCAUGCCAAUGGCACUGCCCGGUAGCUAAAUGCGGAAGAGAUAAGUGCUGAAAGCAUCUAAGCACGAAACUUGCC